ACUUUGCUAAUUAUCAAUGUUUUAUGUUGUGGAUUUAGGAGGUUGAAUAUGGAAGCAUAUAGAUUUCUUGUCCUGGUGAUUGAAUAGUUUUGUGCCUUGGUAGAGGGGGAAGAGUGGGAUGACCCCUGUUUCUUACCAUUGGUUUGAUUGUUACACAAUUUUGGAAUGAAAUUUUGAAUUUGAACAUACCUGAAGUUGAAAUCAAUAGGUGAAGAAAAAGAGAUUAAGGCAUUGAAUUCGUAUUACAUUGGUUCAAUCUGGGCUCUUCAAUUCUAAUUCACCUACAGCCUUCAUGGGCCCAGGAAUAUUUUGAAUUCAUUCAAGAACAUCAUGCACAAAUGUUCCAUCCUCAUUCGGCCUCAUCCAAUCUAAACAUAAACUGAAUUAUUGACCUUGUAUAUAGAACUCUAUGCUCAGUUCAUGGAUGCAACAAAAACUGAUAGAUGAUGCUCCAUUCAACAUGAUGAAUGUAGCAUGUCAUGGAUGUCAAGCACUUAUGCAUGAACAAGAAAC